GUAAUCGAGAACAGUGUUCAAGAGUUGGUCUAUGCAGUUUGUCGUCAAAUUUACAUUUGUCCUGCAUAACAUUUGGGAAGUUAAUGCCAGGAGGGUUUGUUUCAGUUGUGAAGGUACAUAGUAAAUUGGACGGCUAUCUCUAUGCGAUCAAAAGAAUUUAUUUGAAUCAGACAAGUGUUCUGUUAAAUCGCAAAAUUGCUCGAGAAGAGAAGUUCCUUUCUAGAUUGAAUCAUGAAAAUAUUGUAAGGUAAAAAGAAAUUUACUAUCCAAAAUAAAUCAAAAUUUUAUAACAUAAGGAUUGAAAGCGAGGUUCAAUUUAGAGGAUACAAAUUGCUU